ACUAAUACUAGCCCAACUCUUCUUAUUCCUUUCAAAUACAAUACACCUAAUAAAUAAAACAUUCAUCUGAAUAAAGUAUAGGAGAUAGAAAUUUAUAUCUGGAGCUAUAGAGAAAGUACCGCAAGGGAAAGAUGAAAGAAUAAACUAAUAGUACUAAGAAGCAAAGAUUAACUCUUUUACCUUUUGCAUAAUGGUUUAACCAGAAAACAUUUGACAAAAAGAAUUUAAGCCAAACACCCCGAAACCAGACGAGCUACUUAUAGGCAGCCAAUAAGAGCCUAUCCGUCUAUGUCGCAAAAUAGUGGAACGACUUAUAAGUAGAGGUGAAAAGCCUAUCGAGCCUGGUGAUAGCUGGUUGUCCAGACUAGAAUUUAAGUUCUACUUUAAAUUUACCUAAAGCACAAACAAGCUGAAUGUAAAUUUAAAUGUUAUUCUAAAGAGGGACAGCUCUUUGGAGUCAAGGAAUUAGCCUUAACUAGAGAGUAAAACUAUUAAUUUCCAUAGUUGGCCUAAAAGCAGCCAUCAAUUAAAAAAGCGUUAAAGCUUAAUCAACUAAUUAAAACUUAAUACCCAGCUCUUUCAUAAUCUCCUAAUUCAAUACUGGACUAAUCUAUUUUACAAUAGAAGAAACUAUGUUAAAAUCAGUAACAAGAAAAUAUUCUCCCCGCAUGAGCUUAUAUCAGAUCGAAUAAUUCACUGAUAGUUAACAACUCCAUAAUAUUAAAUAAACAUAAAAUCAUUAUUAUUAAAAUUGUUAAUCCAACACUGGCAUGCGUUUAAGGGAAAGAUUAAAAAAAAGUAAAAGGAACUCGGCAAACACUAACCUCGCCUGUUUACCAAAAACAUCACCUCUAGCAUAAAUAGUAUUAGAGGCACUGCCUGCCCAGUGACACACGUUCAACGGCCGCGGUAUCCUGACCGUGCAAAGGUAGCAUAAUCACUUGUUCUUUAAAUAAGGACUAGCAUGAAUGGCUUAACGAGGGUUUAACUGUCUCUUACUUUUAAUCAGUGAAAUUGACCUUCCCGUGAAGAGGCGGGAAUUUCCUAAUAAGACGAGAAGACCCUAUGGAGCUUUAAUUUAAUAGUCUCACAGCCCUAAUAAAAUCCUAGGAAUCAAAAUUAUUGUUUACAGACUAGAAAUUUUGGUUGGGGUGACCUCGGAGUAUAAAUCAACCUCCGAAUGAUAAUAAUCUAGACACACAUGUCCAAAUUAUAAAUCAUUAAUUGACCCAAAUCAUUGAUCAACGGAACAAGUUACCCUAGGGAUAACAGCGCAAUCCUACUCAAGAGUCCAUAUCGACAGUUAGGGUUUACGACCUCGAUGUUGGAUCAGGACAUCCAAAUGGUGUAACCGCUAUUAAUGGUUCGUUUGUUCAACGAUUAAAGUCCUACGUGAUCUGAGUUCAGACCGGAGAAAUCCAGGUCGGUUUCUAUCUAUUAUUAAAUUUCUCCCAGUACGAAAGGACAAGAGAAAUAAGGCCAAUUAAACUCUAAUGCCUUAGAAUUAAUGGAUGAAACAAUCUUAAUCCAAUAAUAUAUUUUAAAUAACCUGCCCUAGAGCAGGGCUU
rnacentral:rRNA from 1 species